CUAUUGGAUCUUCAUCGCCUGUAGGACAAGCCCAUGCCAUCCAAUAGUUACUUGCCACCUGUAGGCCUUGGAAAGAAGAUUGGGCUAGAAGGAUUACUGGAACAAAAGCACCACGCUUCACAAUAGUCAAGUAAGCAGCAAUUCUAUCAGCAGACACUUUUCCCUGUGCAAUCACGGAGAGUAAAUCGGGCAAAUUGAAUAUAGGAUCUUGAAGCAUCCGGAAUGUAGCAAGCGCAGACAGGACUCUCCCGGCUGUGAGUGGAAUCCCCAUUAUGACACACCCAACAAAAGUUGCAACAGAAAUAAAUGUUGGGCAUCCCCAAAAGAUAAAAGCUGUUAGUGCUGAUAAUCUCAGUGAUUUCCAGAGCCAAUUAUGCUCGAUUUUUCUUAAACUCUCAAGCUUCUGAAGAUAGAAAUUGUCCCAUGCCUGAAGCUUGAUUGUUUUCAUGUUUCGAAGAACCUCUGAGGUAGAUUUCAUCCUUUCAUCCUUGGAUUCCAUGAUUUUUGUUUGAUACCCCUUCUGAAUCCUAGUCACAGGUAUGUUGAUAGUCAUCACUACCAUUGUUGUAGCUAAUGCCACCAGUGAGCCCAUUCCCAGAUUCAUAUGCAGAAUAUAGAUUGCUAAUGAUAUUUGGAUCGGCAGCAUCCAGAUUAUGUUAAGGACAAGGCCCUUUUGGUAUAUGUGAGAUAUAAGAGCUGCUCUUAGCCGAAGGCCUAGCUGACGAGCUCCAAAUAUCCACUGCCUUUGAGCCACAGUCUCAACCAUCUUGGCACUAAGAAAACCCAAUGCCAGCAGAUAUCCACUCUGUAAGCUCCGGGAUUUCUUUUCAGCAAGGAAAGUCACAAAGUCAUCAAUGAGGCUUUCAUCGAAGGAACUUGAUAGAAAAUCAGCAGAGUCCCCGAUGUAAACAUCAGGAACUUCAUCCUGGUCAAGUGGUUUCUUUUUCCCCACUUCAAAGAGCGGAUUGAGCCAAGAGAAUGUGACUAACUGAAGAAGACUAGCUCUUCCAUAUGGACUGUCCCUUCUGCCAUCUGAAGAAUACUUUUCAGGUUUUCCACCGAGAAGGGGUUCUGUGAUGCCAUUUGAGCUGUCAAGAGCUGUGCCGGUCUUCCCUUGAAUUGAAAUACCUAGUAAGCAGGCAGAUACUAUAAGACCGAAAAUAUCAGCAUAUUCAUGCAGCCCGAGUGACUCAUGAUUCGUAAUCAAUGAAUGAGCAUUCAUAGUUGCAUGAACCAAAGACAGCAAGAAGCUGGAAAUCCACCACAUUCUCAGGAUCCAAGUGAGCCUCCGUCUUGUUCUGUGGCACCGAUAAUAGUACAAGAUGAGCGACCAGUGACAACGUGGAGCAAACAACGCUGCACUUGUAGGAGAGGCCAAGUUUUAGUUUUACACCAGCAGGGCUCUUCUCUAGUGUCAUUGCCUUCUUUCCUCCUUUCCAUUGUGACAAUAUAAAGGUCCUUAGCAUAUGCAGCAGUAUGAAUCCAAGGAAACCAAAUUGCACCAAAAUGCUGGUAUCCUCCCACAAGCAUGGGGAUAUCUGUGGUGGCCAUGCAAUUCUUAGUUGGACCUGCUUCAAAUCUGCCAUGCAUCAAAAUCAAAGAUAUCAUCACUAUUAUGGCAGUAACCUGAAACCAACAGGCAACAGUACCAAGGCAUGCAUGCAUGGUUGAUGAGAUUUCGAAUCUUGGGAAUGUUUUACCAGAUCUGAAAUUGAAACAAAGGACUACGGGAUCUUAUCCUCAGCUGGCAGGUUUGUCUGCUAACUUAAAAUGUUCCUCCGAAUCUACUUUUCACUCAUCUCUCUCUCUCUCUCUCAUCUCUUUCUAUUUCUUCCAUUUGCAUCACUUUUUCUUUAUCACUGAUUGAGUAUAAACCUCACUGUCUGUAGAAAUCAGAUACCCUUUUGCUAUACAAAAAGCCUAUGUAAUUCAUUGUAUUUGACAAGGUUAAUAAUCUCAGCACUAGUGAAAUUACGCUUUUGUCCUUUU